CUAGAUGAAAACCAAAUAGGAGAUACAUGGAUGCACUAUACGACGAUGGCACGAUUUACAUGGAGACUGGGAUUCA